UACAGGGGGUGCAAACGUUGCUCGGAAUCAUUGGGCGUAAAGCGCACGUAGGCGGUCUGUUAUGUCGGAUGUGAAAGCCCUUGGCUCAACUGAGGAAGUGCAUCCGAAACUGGCAGGCUAGAGUACUAAAGAGGGUCGCGGAAUUCCCGGUGUAGAGGUGAAAUUCGUAGAUAUCGGGAGGAACACCGGUGGCGAAGGCGGCGACCUGGGUAGAUACUGACGCUGAGGUGCGAAAGCGUGGGGAGCAAACGGG
rnacentral:rRNA from 1 species